UACGUAGGGGGCAAGCGUUGUCCGGAUUUAUUGGGCGUAAAGAGCGUGUAGGCGGCCAUACAGGUCAGCUGUGAAAACUCGAGGCUCAACCUCGAGACGUCGGUUGAAACCGUAUGGCUAGAGUCCGGAAGAGGAGAGUGGAAUUCCCGGUGUAGCGGUGAAAUGCGCAGAUAUCAGGAGGAACACCAGUGGCGAAGGCGGCUUCCUGGUCUGCGACUGACGCUGUGGCGCGAAAGCUAGGGGAGCAAACGGG
rnacentral:rRNA from 1 species